GGAUUAGUGGCGAACGGGUGAGUAAUACGUGAGUAACCUGCCCUUGACUCUGGGAUAAGCCUGGGAAACUGGGUCUAAUACUGGAUACUACCUCUUGCCGCAUGGUGGGUGGUGGAAAGGGUUUUACUGGUUUUGGAUGGGCUCACGGCCUAUCAGCUUGUUGGUGGGGUAAUGGCUCACCAAGGCGACGACGGGUAGCCGGCCUGAGAGGGUGACCGGCCACACUGGGACUGAGACACGGCCCAGACUCCUACGGGAGGCAGCAGUGGGGAAUAUUGCACAAUGGGCGGAAGCCUGAUGCAGCGACGCCGCGUGAGGGAUGACGGCCUUCGGGUUGUAAACCUCUUUCAGUAGGGAAGAAGCGAGAGUGACGGUACCUGCAGAAGAAGCGCCGGCUAACUACGUGCCAGCAGCCGCGGUAAUACGUAGGGCGCAAGCGUUGUCCGGAAUUAUUGGGCGUAAAGAGCUCGUAGGCGGUUUGUCGCGUCUGCUGUGAAAGCCCGGGGCUCAACCCCGGGUCUGCAGUGGGUACGGGCAGACUAGAGUGCAGUAGGGGAGACUGGAAUUCCUGGUGUAGCGGUGAAAUGCGCAGAUAUCAGGAGGAACACCGAUGGCGAAGGCAGGUCUCUGGGCUGUUACUGACGCUGAGGAGCGAAAGCAUGGGGAGCGAACAGGAUUAGAUACCCUGGUAGUCCAUGCCGUAAACGUUGGG
rnacentral:rRNA from 1 species